rnacentral:rRNA from 1 species
GCAAAGGCGGCUGCUACACAUGCAGUCGAGCGGCACCUUCGGGUGUAGCGGCGGACGGGUUAGUAACGCGUGGGAACGUGCCCUUCUCUACGGAAUAGCCUCGGGAAACUGAGAGUAAUACCGUAUACGCCCUUUGGGGGAAAGAUUUAUCGGAGAAGGAUCGGCCCGCGUCUGAUUAGAUAGUUGGUGGGGUAAUGGCCUACCAAGUCUACGAUCAGUAGCUGGUUUUAGAGGAUGAUCAGCAACACUGGGACUGAGACACGGCCCAGACUCCUACGGGAGGCAGCAGUGGGGAAUCUUAGACAAUGGGCGCAAGCCUGAUCUAGCCAUGCCGCGUGAGUGAUGAAGGCCUUAGGGUCGUAAAGCUCUUUCGCCAGAGAUGAUAAUGACAGUAUCUGGUAAAGAAACCCCGGCUAACUCCGUGCCAGCAGCCGCGGUAAUACGGAGGGGGUUAGCGUUGUUCGGAAUUACUGGGCGUAAAGCGCACGUAGGCGGAUCAGAAAGUUGGGGGUGAAAUCCCAGGGCUCAACCCUGGAACGGCCUCCAAAACUCCUGGUCUUGAGUUCGAGAGAGGUGAGUGGAAUUCCGAGUGUAGAGGUGAAAUUCGUAGAUAUUCGGAGGAACACCAGUGGCGAAGGCGGCUCACUGGCUCGAUACUGACGCUGAGGUGCGAAAGUGUGGGGAGCAAACAGGAUUAGAUACCCUGGUAG